CCUACGGGGGGCUGCAGUGAGGAAUAUUGGUCAAUGGGCGACAGCCUGAACCAGCCAUCCCGCGUGAAGGAAGACUGCCCUAUGGGUUGUAAACUUCUUUUCCGGAGGAAUAAAAUGAGGCACGUGUGCUUCACUGAAGGUACUCUGGGAAUAAGCAUCGGCUAACUCCGUGCCAGCAGCCGCGGUCAUACGGAGGAUGCGGGCGUUAUCCGGAUUUAUUGGUUUUAAGGCGGAUUUAGAAGGCAUAGGUGAAAACCUUCAGCGUAACUGGAGACUUGCCAUUGAUACUGUUAGUCUUGAGUACGGUCAAGGUAGGCGGAAUGUGUAAUGUAGCGGUGAAAUGCUUAGAUAUUACACAGAACACCGAUUGCGAAGGCAGCUUACUGGGCCAUUACUGACGCUGAUGCACGAAAGCGUGGGGAGCGAACAGGAUUAGAUACCCCUGUAGUC
rnacentral:rRNA from 1 species